GAUGAACGCUGGCGGCGUGCCUAAUACAUACAAGUCGAGCGAACAGAUGAGGAGCUUGCUCCUCUGACGUUAGCGGCGGACGGGUGAGUAACACGUGGAUAACCUACCUAUAAGACUGGGAUAACUUCGGGAAACCGGAGCUAAUACCGGAUAAUAUAUUGAACCGCAUGGUUCAAUAGUGAAAGACGGUUUUGCUGUCACUUAUAGAUGGAUCCGCGCCGCAUUAGCUAGUUGGUAAGGUAACGGCUUACCAAGGCAACGAUGCGUAGCCGACCUGAGAGGGUGAUCGGCCACACUGGAACUGAGGCACGGUCCAGACUCCUACGGGAGGCAGCAGUAGGGAAUCUUCCGCAAUGGGCGAAAGCCUGACGGAGCAACGCCGCGUGAGUGAUGAAGGUCUUCGGAUCGUAAAACUCUGUUAUUAGGGAAGAACAAAUGUGUAAGUAACUAUGCACGUCUUGACGGUACCUAAUCAGAAAGCCACGGCUAACUACGUG
rnacentral:rRNA from 1 species